rnacentral:rRNA from 1 species
GACGGUCUUGCUGUCACUUAUAGAUGGAUCCGCGCUGCAUUAGCUAGUUGGUAAGGUAACGGCUUACCAAGGCAACGAUGCAUAGCCGACCUGAGAGGGUGAUCGGCCACACUGGAACUGAGACACGGUCCAGACUCCUACGGGAGGCAGCAGUAGGGAAUCUUCCGCAAUGGGCGAAAGCCUGACGGAGCAACGCCGCGUGAGUGAUGAAGGUCUUCGGAUCGUAAAACUCUGUUAUUAGGGAAGAACAUAUGUGUAAGUAACUGUGCACAUCUUGACGGUACCUAAUCAGAAAGCCACGGCUAACUACGUGCCAGCAGCCGCGGUAA